rnacentral:rRNA from 1 species
UAGCAAUAUUGAUGAUGUUCAGUGGCGCAAGGGUGCGUAACACGUGAAUCAUCUGCCGAGAAGUGGGGGAUAGCUCGCCGAAAGGCGAAUUAAUACCGCAUAUUGUAUCACUACCAAAGCCGGGGCAACCUGGCGCUUUUCGAUGAGUUCGCGGCCUAUCAGCUAGUUGGCGGGGUAACGGCCCACCAAGGCUAUGACGGGUAGCUGGUCUGAGAGGACGACCAGCCACACUGGAACUGAAACACGGUCCAGACACCUACGGGUGGCAGCAGUCGAGAAUUUUUCUCAAUGGGGGAAACCCUGAAGGAGCGACGCCGCGUGGAGGAUGAAGGUCUUCGGAUUGUAAACUCCUGUCAUUAGUGAACAAAGUUCGCGUUUAACUAAUUGCGAAUAUGCUAGUAACUGAAGAGGAAGAGACGGCAAACUCUGUGCCAGCAGCCGCGGUAAUACAGAGGUCUCAAGCGUUGUUCGGAUUUAUUGGGCGUAAAGGGUGCGUAGGUGGUACCGAAAGUUAGGUGUGAAAGUUCGAGGCUCAACCUCGAAAUUGCACCUAAUACUCCGGUGCUCGAGUCUCAUAGAGGAAUCUGGAAUUCUCGGUGUAGCA